rnacentral:rRNA from 1 species
CUUAGUAACGGCGAGUGAAGCGGCAAAGCUCAAUUUGAAAUCGGCCACCAGGUCGAGUUGUAAUUUGUAGAUUGUAUCUUGAGAGCGGAUUAAAGUCUGUUGGAACACAGCGCCUUAGAGGGUGACAGCCCCGUAAAAUCUAUUCUCAUUGUAAGAUACUUUCGAAGAGUCGAGUUGUUUGGGAAUGCAGCUCUAAGUGGGAGGUAAAUUCCUUCUAAAGCUAAAUAUUGACGAGAGACCGAUAGCGAACAAGUACUGUGAAGGAAAGAUGAAAAGCACUUUGAAAAGAGAGUGAAAAAGUACGUGAAAUUGUUAAAAGGGAAGGGUAUUGAAUCAGACUUGGUGCUGUUGUUCAACUGUGUUUUGGCACAGUGUACUCAGCAGUACUAGGCCAAGGUGGGGUGUUUGGGAGUGAAAAAGAAGUUGGAACGUAACUCUUCGGAGUGUUAUAGCCUACUUUCAUAGCUCCUCAGGCGCCUCAGGACUGCGCUUCGGCAAGGACCUUGGCAUAAUGAUUCUAUACCGCCCGUCUUGAAACACGGACCAAGGAGUCUAACGUCUAUGCGAGUGUUUGGGUGUAAAACCCGUACGCGUAAUGAAAGUGAACGUAGAUAGGAGCAGUAAUGCGCACUAUCGACCGAUCCUGAUGUUUUCAGAUGGAUUUGAGUAAGAGCAUAGCUGUUGGGACCCGAAAGAUGGUGAACUAUGCCUGAAUAGGGUGAAGCCAGAGGAAACUCUGGUGGAGGCUCGUAGCGGUUCUGACGUGCAAAUCGAUCGUCGAAUUUGGGUAUAGGGCGAAAGACUAAUCGAA